UACGAAGGGGGCUAGCGUUGCUCGGAAUUACUGGGCGUAAAGCGUGCGCAGGCGGUUUUGUAAGCCCGAUGUGAAAUCCCCGGGCUUAACCUGGGAAUGGCAUUUGGGACUGCAAGGCUGGAGUGCGGCAGAGGAGACUGGAAUUCCUGGUGUAGCAGUGAAAUGCGUAGAUAUCAGGAGGAAUACCGAUGGCGAAGGCAGGUCUCUGGGCUGACACUGACGCUCAUGCACGAAAGCGUGGGGAGCAAACAGG
rnacentral:rRNA from 1 species